rnacentral:rRNA from 1 species
GUCCACGCCUAACGAUGUCAACUGGUUGUUGGGUCUUCACUGACUCAGUAACGAAGCUAACGCGUGAAGUUGACCGCCUGGGAGUACGGCCGCAAGGUUGAACUCAAGGAAUUGACGGGACCCGCACAAGCGGUGGAUGAUGUGGUUUAAUUCGAUGCAACGCGAAACCUUAACCCACCUUUGACAUGUACGGAAUUCGCCAGAGAUGGCUUAGUGCUCGAAAGAGAACCGUAACACAGGUGCUGCAUGGCUGUCGU